GAUUAACGCUAGCGGCAGGCCUAAUACAUGCAAGUCGAACGGCAGCGGGUCCAGCAAUGGAUGCCGGCGAGUGGCGCACGGGUGCGUAACGCGUAUGCAACCUACCUUUGACUGGGGGGUAGCCCCGAGAAAUCGGGAUUAAUACCCCAUAUUAUUAUGAAGUGGCAUCACUUUAUAAUUAAAGCUCCGGCGGUCUUAGAUGGGCAUGCGUGACAUUAGCUUGUUGGUGAGGUAACGGCUCACCAAGGCGACGAUGUCUAGGGGUUCUGAGAGGAUUUUCCCCCACACUGGUACUGAGACACGGACCAGACUCCUACGGGAGGCAGCAGUAAGGAAUAUUGGGCAAUGGGCGCAAGCCUGACCCAGCCAUGCCGCGUGAAGGAUGACGGCCCUAUGGGUUGUAAACUUCUUUUGUACGGGAAAAAACCCCCGGUCGUGAACCGGGGUUGAUGGUACCGUAAGAAUAAGCAUCGGCUAACUCCGUGCCAGCCGCCGCAGUAACAC
rnacentral:rRNA from 1 species